GACGAACGCUGGCGGCGUGCCUAAUACAUGCAAGUAGAACGCACAGUUUAUACCGUAGCUUGCUACACCAUAGACUGUGAGUUGCGAACGGGUGAGUAACGCGUAGGUAACCUGCCUGGUAGCGGGGGAUAACUAUUGGAAACGAUAGCUAAUACCGCAUAAUAUUGAUUAUUGCAUGAUAAUUGAUUGAAAGAUGCUAUUGCAUCACUACCAGAUGGACCUGCGUUGUAUUAGCUAGUAGGUGAGGUAACGGCUCACCUAGGCGACGAUACAUAGCCGACCUGAGAGGGUGAUCGGCCAACCUGGGACUGAGACACGGCCCAGACUCCUACGGGAGGCAGCAGUAGGGAAUCUUCGGCAAUGGACGAAAGUCUGACCGAGCAACGCCGCGUGAGUGAAGAAGGUUUUCGGAUCGUAAAGCUCUGUUGUAAGAGAAGAACGGGUGUGAGAGUGGAAAGUUCACACUGUGACGGUAUCUUACCAGAAAGGGACGGCUAACUACGUG
rnacentral:rRNA from 1 species